CAAGUGGUCCCAGAUCAGCCAGCUAGUGGCGGAGAAGCCAGGAGGAAAAGUCAGAUUCCUGAUGCUGUAACUGGCGUUUCCCAGUCAUCAUUAUUAGCGUCGAUUUCCAGCUAUGGGGUAUGGUCCUUGGGGACCUCCCCUCCCCACCCCUGGGUCCCCCGCCAGGGCCUUCCUGCCCUACCCCUGUUUUGUCCUGGGGUGUGUACUCAGGUCAUGCUGGCCCUAUUUCCAAUCUAACACCAAUGCUGGGCCGUUAGAAGGUGGUCAGUAAGUACCUGCAGGUGAAUUAUUAAGAAAACCACUGUCUGCAGGAAUGGGCCUUGCAAAGAGCUGGUCCUCAAAAUUCAGUUGAGUGAAGGUGAGCAAGCCAUUCUUACCCACUGAAGGGGAAAUAAAGUCGGGUUAGCUGCUGUACCUCUUUCAUUAGAUAAGAGAUCAUUGCUCAAGUUCCCCUCGGAUCAUUCAAGUGCAGGUUGAACCAGACCCUGCAGGAGGGCCUCAGAGUCCCUGUUCUCACAAACUCUGGGGUCAACUAGGUUUUGCCCUGUGCAGAGGGAGGGGAAAAGAGACCUUUCCGUGUUGGUCUCUUCCAGCCUUUGUCGUCACAGUGGUGACUACGGUAAUGUCAGCUAACAGUUUGGAAGCCUGGCACCUUCAAUGAUGCUAUCUUAGCUGUAAGAACCACUGUUUCAGCAUCCCCUUCCCCAAAUGGGGACAUGAAGUCAGGGGACAUGUUCAGGGUCACGCUGCUGCUACUGCUAAGGGGCUCCAGCCAGCACCCAAAGCUCACAUACAGAUCCUAGAGCAGACGGAAGGGAUGUGAACAUCCAAACCUGAUCUGCUACCAUCAGAGGGUCAUGCCCAGAGCUGACUGUCCAUCUGCUCUCUGCAAGCCUGUGUCCGGCCUCCAGGGGUCCUCACUGAUGGGUACUGAUGCUGACCAAUCAGAUUCCAGUCAGGAGGAAUCUCUCAAGACCACUCCUGAGCUCCUGGCUUCGCCUAUCACAUCCUUCUGGGAACCCCAGCAUAGUGGACGGAGAACGCCCUGCGCCUGCCAGCUACGACCGCCUUCCUCUGAUGUAUGGUCCCUCACACUUGGCGGAACAUUCGAGAGGCAAAUGGUGUUGGAGACUAGGAGCCAAAGAGGAGGCAGGACCCAUCAGUGUCAAUAACAGCACAAAAGCCCUCGCACUUGUCAAGUAUGAAACCCUCGUAGGAGCUGUUGCAUCAUUUGGGUCCCAUCACCAUCCUGUUUGUGGGAAAGCCAGGUGCUUUAUGUUCACUUAUUUUCGAAGAAACUGAGGGCCGAAGGGAGGAGAGACCCCUGCUGGGCUCCCUCAGCCCAGAACUUGAACUGAUCACUCGGGCUGGGCAUCUCAUCCAGCUGUGGUGGGCAGCCUGGUGCCCACUAAUGGUUACUCAGUAGCAUCCUCCCUGCUUCCUGGGCAUUAGAUAGAACUCGCUUCCCAGCCCUCUCUGAGCUGUUCUGGGACCAAGACUUCUCCAAAGCAGUGGAUAUCCAAGUUCUAGUUCCCCUUCUGUGUUGGGAUGCAACCAACGUGAGACCCUAGGGGUGGGGGAACCAUAAGAUUGGAGAGGGCCUGGGUGCCUAGAGUCACCUACAGACCAGGCCAUCACCUUGGACAUAAACCUCUACUGUGUUUGAGCCAAUAUAACUUUGAAGAUCCAUAGCCUGGCCCACCCUGUUGUGCGUGCUCGUGUGUGUGCACACACACAGACACACACAUAUACACACGAUGUAUUUAAUCUUGUAUGUUUUGUGCAUUCAGGGCAAGGGGGAGAAAAUGAUGAAAAGCUGCCUAUCUAACAGUCCCUGCCCUCAAGGAGGAUACAAUAUAGUUGGAGAGAUGAGGCUGACAUGGGUGACAGGUGUUUAGCCAGGCUCCACUAAGUGUGAUUGAAACGAGUAAGUCUUCUGACUUAGGGAAGGCAUCUCUGAUUCUGCUGAAUAUCAGGUGCUCAGGCUUUAAGGACAGGGAGGAUUUGGUUAACAGAGUGGAGGGGCUGGGCCUUCCCGGAAGGAAGGACAGUGGAAUAAAGGCUUAUCUGCAGACACGUGCAUUCCAGGGCUUCUCUGGAUGAGCUGAAGCCCCCAGGCUGUUGUGCUAGGUCCUCCUCCUGGCCUUCAUGCAGGACAUGCCUUGAGGGUGAGGCUGCCGUGGCUGGAAGCUGGGGAGCCAGGGUGUCUUGGGCUUCGACCUCACACACCUCUUGGGGUCCUGGAUCCUUCCCAUCCCUCCAGGACAGCCAUUCCUCUGGGUGCCCAGGGCUGCAGUGGCGUGAGCUCAGUGAAGAGUCGGCUCACUCCAAGAGCUGCUCCAGACCCAGGCUUUCUGGGGGAAAUCCCUUCAUCCCUGGAGUGGAGGGCUGGCUCCAAAGCUGCUCUAAGGUGGACUUGUGUUGGUCCCCUUCUCCCUCCUGGGUCCCUCCAGCUCUAAAAUCCCAGGGUUUUCUGGAGCUAGGAAGGAGGGCCAAAACUCUUGUUCCAGGAGUUGGGUGGAUGGGAGGGAGGUUUAGAGCACCCACCUGACCUCUGACCUUGACUCCCAGGCCACCCUGGGUGGGCCUCUUUCUGGCCCUUGGGUCUCAGUUAUCCCCUGUGGGAUCCAGCUCCACAGCAGGACCAGUGGGCACUGUGUAUUAGUGGGGCAGAAGAGCACGUUAUGAUUCCCUGGCUGGUCCCCAGAGGCCUGUGCCCGGGGGUGUCUGUGCUGCUCUCAGAAGAUCCUAGAGACCCCUCCACUGUGAGGAGAAGACGAGGUCCGGGGUGGCUGGUGGUGGGCUCAGGACGGGGCUGCCUGCUGUUAUUACCUGGAAGCUGAGCUGUUGUGGUCUGCUUGUUCCCUGUCCUCUGUCUCAGACAAGCCUCUGCCAGACAGCUGUGGGGUGGCCUGUCCCCUAACCCGUAGGCUUUUUAGCAUCAGCCCUCAGAUGUGAACCCCAGGAACCCGCAUCCUCUGCUGUGCCUCUGUUGUCAUCUCUCCUCUGAGGACCGUUCCAGGCAUGCGGGCCCCUGAGCCUGGAUCCCUCCCACCCCCCAAGGACAGAGGUUGAGGCCCCAGACCAGGUGAGCUCUAGGGUAUCAGGUCCUCUGGGCUCUCUCACCUGCCUUGGGGCCCAGGGCAAACCUGGGAACCCCUUGGGCACCAGCACCAGCCGCACCACGUGAAGCAAAAAUGGAGUCCACUGCACAGGCCUGGAAGGGGAGGCCUGGCCCGGCAGACCUGGCCACGUGAAACCGCAGGGGCCCAAGUCCAUGUGAGCCAAUGGGGUUUCAAGGGAAGCUCAGUUAUGAUGAGUUGCCUGGAAGGGGAAAGGCUUCCAGGGGACCUUAUGAUCGACUUUAAAUCAGUAGUUCUUGGGGCUUCCCUGGUGGCCCAGUGGUGAAUCCAUCUGCCAAGGUAGGAGACACGGGUUUGAUCCCUGGUCCGAGAAGAUCCCACACGUCGGGGAGCAACCAGAUCUGUGCACCACAACUAUUGAGCCUGUGCUCCCGAGUCCUGGGACCGCAACUGCUGAGCCCACAUGCUGCAAGCACGGAAGCCUGUGUGCCUCAGAGCCUGUGCUCCACAGCCGGAGAGGCCACCAUAGUGAGAAGCCCACGAUCACAACCAGAUAACAGCCCUGCUUGCCACAACUAGCGACAUGCCCUCGCAGCAGCAAAGAGCCAGCACAGCCAAAAAUAAAUAAAUAAAUAGUUUUAAAAUAAUAGAUCUAAUGGUUCUCAAUCUUUGCAUAUUAGGGUCACUUUUCAAAGUUCGGAAGCCUCGGCUCUACCUGUGAAGUUUGAGUUUGUAGGCUGGGGUGGGGUCCUGGCAUCUGCUUUUGCUGGAGAUCCUGGUGCACAGCUGGGGCUGAGGGGCUUGUCCCUGGCCUCCCUCCCCGCUAAUUAAGGCACUGUGAUUCGUGGUCUCUAUACCAGGCAGGGCUCUUCUCUCCACACACCGUGGUGUGCUGUAGGGUGGCUUUCAGAAAGUCAAGUCUGUGUCCGCACGGCUAGGGAGAGAGGCCUGUCUGAACUGUAGAACAGAGAGAGGGUGGCUGGUCCCGGGGUUCUUGUCUGGUCCCUGAGUCCUUGCCUGGGCUCUGGGUAGGAUGCACAGAGGUCUGGAAUUCCCAGACUCUGCCUCCAUGAAGGGCAGCCUGUCUCCAGUGAUGCUCCUAUUCUGUCCUUCAUCAGCACAGCCUGGCUCUGAGCUGGAUCCCGCCGGCUCCCUGUGAUGACUCCCAUGAUGAGGCAUCCGGGCCCUUCACCCAAAUCCUCCGGGACCACCUGCUUCCACUUAACAAUAGCAUCUGUGAGCAAGUUGCCGCAGGAGGGCAGUUGGCCUGCUAGGGGCGAGGGCCUCAUUCUCGGCUUUGCUAACUCCACAUUGGUCCACGAGGGGGUUUUCAUCCAUGGGAAAGGGUCAACCAUCUUUCCAGGGUGCAAGGGGGCUGCUACCGUGGAGCACAAUCACUGACUUGGCUCACCCAGUGGGUGUGGCCUUCCUCUUCCCCCCCCUACAAGUGAGCAGUUCCCGAUCAGGCAGGAGCUAAUGGAGAGAAGGAUCCCGCUGCGUCCUGAGUGUCAGGAAACAAUCAGCUUCAGAGUCAACAUUUUCAUCACUGCAAGUGGAUAAUCCAAAUGCAGGGAGCCUGGGACCCCAGAUGGAGGAGCUGCCUGUCAGAGCUGAGUCAGACCAACGUUCUCCAA